rnacentral:rRNA from 1 species
AUUGAACGCUGGCGGCAUGCCUUACACAUGCAAGUCGAACGGCAGCACGGGAGCAAUCCUGGUGGCGAGUGGCGAACGGGUGAGUAAUAUAUCGGAACGUGCCCAGUCGUGGGGGAUAACGCAGCGAAAGUUGUGCUAAUACCGCAUACGAUCUAUGGAUGAAAGCGGGGGAUCGCAAGACCUCGCGCGAUUGGAGCGGCCGAUGUCAGAUUAGGUAGUUGGUGGGGUAAAGGCUCACCAAGCCAACGAUCUGUAGCUGGUCUGAGAGGACGACCAGCCACACUGGAACUGAGACACGGUCCAGACUCCUACGGGAGGCAGCAGUGGGGAAUUUUGGACAAUGGGCGCAAGCCUGAUCCAGCCAUUCCGCGUGCAGGAUGAAGGCCUUCGGUUGUAAACUAGCUUUUGUACGGUAACGAAACGGACGAGCUCUAAUACAGUUUGCGUAAUGACGGUACCGUAAGAAUAAGCAACCGGCUAACUACGUGCC